UUUAUGGAGAGUUUGAUCCUGGCUCAGGAUGAACGCUGGCGGCGUGCCUAAUACAUGCAAGUCGAGCGAACGGACGAGAAGCUUGCUUCUCUGAUGUUAGCGGCGGACGGGUGAGUAACACGUGGAUAACCUACCUAUAAGACUGGGAUAACUUCGGGAAACCGGAGCUAAUACCGGAUAAUAUUUUGAACCGCAUGGUUCAAAAGUGAAAGACGGUCUUGCUGUCACUUAUAGAUGGAUCCGCGCUGCAUUAGCUAGUUGGUAAGGUAACGGCUUACCAAGGCAACGAUGCAUAGCCGACCUGAGAGGGUGAUCGGCCACACUGGAACUGAGACACGGUCCAGACUC
rnacentral:rRNA from 1 species